GCAGUGGUGGUUCAGUGAUAGAAUUUUCACCUUCCAUGUGGGAGACCCAGGUUAGAUUCCCAGUCAAUGCA
rnacentral:tRNA from 1 species